UACGGAGGGUGCGAGCGUUAAUCGGAAUUACUGGGCGUAAAGCGCGCGUAGGCGGUUUGUUAAGUCAGCUGUGAAAGCCCCGGGCUCAACCUGGGAACUGCAGUUGAUACUGGCCGACUAGAGUACGAGAGAGGGAGGUAGAAUUCCAUGUGUAGCGGUGAAAUGCGUAAAUAUAUGGAGGAAUACCGGUGGCGAAGGCGGCCUCCUGGCUCGAUACUGACGCUGAGGUGCGAAAGCGUGGGGAUCAAACAGG
rnacentral:rRNA from 1 species